GCCAUAUUGUAAUGAAUCACUGGUUCUUGUACGAUCACUGAAGUUAAGCAACAUCCAGCCUGGUCAGUAUCUACAUGGGUGACCACUUGGGAAUGCCAGGUGCUGUAAG